CGCGCAGCCCCGUCUGGAGGCCCGUCCCGGGCGGCAGCCGGGUGACGGCAGGCAGAGCCCGCGGCCCCCCGCUCGGCGUGACGCGCGGGGACGGGUGGCGCGGGGGAAGUUUCUGUUUGCGUCACCGGACGGGAUCCUUCCUCCCUGGCACUCUCGGCCCGGGCUGCGAGUGAAAGAGAAAGUUGACAGCGUGAAAGGGGAAAAUGCCUCCGCGAGAGCCCACUUCCUCAAACUGUGAGCGGUGGAGUCAGGUGCCCGGGCGUCUUCGCCGGGAGGGCGUGGAGGGCGCGCACGCCCGCGCGGCGGGCAGGCAGGCAGCCCCUGCGGAAACGUGGACGUGGGGUUACCAGGCGGCCCGCAAGCCCACUGUCAGGGGCUCCCCGGGGCUGAGAACAGGAACUCCCUCGCGCGGGAACCUCACGGCGGCACUGUCACAGCGGUCAGGUCGACUCUCCGACGCGAACGGUCACCCCGGGAGAAGCGGGAGGCGGCCGCACAUCACCAUCGGCACACCGGUCACGGCUCACUGUCCACUCGGAAGGGGGUCAUUUCACAUCACGUAAGUGCCACUGCAAGGAAGGGUCCCACGUGGCCACCCAGCCGCGGCCCCGGGGGAGGGGCGAUUAGAGGCGGAGCUCAGCCAACAGCCUGGGGAGUGGGGCGGACACGGGCCUCCGGAGGCCCCAGUGCUCACCCUCGCGCCUUGGGACUGGGGGACCUGGGCAGAGCGGGCACCUCGUCGGCCGGCACCGCUGUCCUGCUCACACCGGCAGCUGGAUCCCGCCCUGGAAUCAGGUAAAUUAUCCCACGUCUGGAUCAGAAACAGCAGGACCAGACGAGGCUCUAGACUUAGGUGCACAGCUCUGGCUCCGGGCUCACCCCAUGGCCUCCCCCCCUGCCCACCUUGAGCCCUGGGUCCCUGUGACGGGAUGGGAAGGGACAGCACAGGGCAGGUGGGCCUCGGGCGGUGGUGGGAUGAGGUGGGAAGCUGGUGUGAACACAGCCCCUCCCUCUCCCUGCACCCCCGGCUCCGCAGGGAUGGGGCUGGGUAAGUGCGCAGCGGGACGAGACGGGCACCCUGUCACUGCCUGGCGCUCCGGCAGCAGCCUGGGGACACGGGCUGGACGUGGCCUAGGGUCCGCGAGAGGAGCGCCAGGGCCUGAGGGCGGAUUCUGAGUCUCCUCUCCAGAGUGCGCGGCGGUUCAGGUGUUUGGGGGUCACGCCGUCCUCGGCCAGCAGGCAGGGCCCGUGGGGGGAGAAAGGAGAGAGCGCAGGCAUUACGGGGUCCCCGGAGGAGCUGGGUUCACCCUCCAUCCGCAUGAGGAGUGGCCGUGAUCCUUUCCGUCAGUGUCCACGGACCGACCACUACAAAUUCAUGCUGACUGUGCGUGAACACCACACGCCCUGGUCCUGGGUCCGGGGGUGACAGGGGACCCGCAGGGAACAGAGGAGCGUCCCCGGGGAACGUCCUCCCUGCCCUCACGGCCGCGUCCGCUCACCCACGGGGAGCUCCGAACGCCACGGGGCAUCCUGAGAACCACGGAGGGAUGGGGUGGAGGGGUCCCGGCACUGCCGCCAUAUUCCCAGGGUCGUGCGCGCUUCUGGAAAAAUAGCGUAAGCAUGUGCUUCACGGCUGCAGUCGGGCGUUCCUAGGUCAGGGUUCGGAAGGCGGGGCUCGGUCUUCCCUGAUGACUGAAGUGCGCGGGCGCGGCCCCCGGGGCCGGACUCGGGGCUCCAUCUUCCCGAUCCGCAGCCACAAAGGCGUUGCCGUAAAAACCACUUUACUUUAUGUCAGAGUUCUCAGGCCAUCGCUUCUCAAGAACACGCAGGAGGGAGGAGACCGUCUUUACCAAAGAGAAAGAUUUCUUAUUACGGAAAGUGCAGAGGCACCGAGGCAGGGGGCGGAGGGCAGGGACGAGCCGCGGGCCACGGACCAGGUGUGGACACAGGGGACGGCGGCCUUUCUCAAGCCCCCGCGCCUGGUCUGCACGCCCCAGGGCCCAGCAAACGGCCCCCGGAGCUGCUCUGUCCACACGUGGGACCUUGUGUGACAUGAGGGGUCCGCUCUGAGCACACCGAGGGUCGGCCAGAGCGAGUGGGGUCCGGUCAUUCCAUCAGCCCCCGUGCACCACGUCAGGGGCUAGAGAUCAAGACCUCGCCCGCAGGGAGUUUUUAGUGCAGGAGAAAGCGGGUGGCGUGGGGGCCGCGGAAGGAGGAAAUGGCUCCCCGUUCUGGAGCCCCUGACGGCCAGGUCUGUGGACACACAACAGUGAGCUUCUGGAAACACACCCGCGGCCACUGACCCGCUGUGGGCCCAGGGGCGGAUGGACGGAGGGAGGUGGCCGGUGACUUCCUAACUCCGUGGGCACAAACAGGCGCCCGGGGCCCGACCACACACAGCUCGUCCGGAAGCUUGCACUGAGGGGGCACGGAGCCUCGGCUCUGGCUGAGGCGAGUCUAGUGAUCGAGAGCAACGGUCAGCAGAGUGUGGGUCGCUCCACCACCAGCACCCCCGUCCGUGCAGCACGUGAGGCUGCGAGCCUGAAUCAUCGCCGUCGUCCUGGACGUGAGCGGCUGUGCUCCCCGAGAUCGCUGCGGCCCGACUGCCGGCUCCAGCCUCUACCGCCUCCCAGAGCCCGGGUCAUGUGACAAAGGGCUGGCGGCAGGCGCAGGGUCUUCCCGCGUGGGGUGACCUCGGAUGGCUCUCACUGGUCACACAGAGGCUCCGGGACCCAAGAGCAGGUGCUCCAGCGACACGUGCAGGACGUGACGGGCCGUUCGUCACCCAGCUGGGAGCCCAGAGGCACCAUUUCUGUCCCACGGGGUUGGCAGUCAGGAGCCCACACUGAUUCAAGGAGAGGAAACGCAGGCCACUGCUACUGCUAACAGGAGCGUCAGAGAAGGUGCAGGGGGUCUAGGGCCGGCACAACGGGUCACAUGCAAGAUCACGGACGGGCCGGUCACUCGAUAAGGCAGGGCGGUCCUCUCACCAGCCUGGCAGAGAGGACACCGGCUGGAGCGACCCCGGAGGCCACCCUGCCCGGCCCCGCCCCCACCAGGCGACCGCAGGGUGCGAACCCCUGGGCCAGCGCCCCUGGGGACAAGGUGGCCUGGAUGCCAUGCCUCCCGCAUGUCUUCAGUCCCCUCCUGCUCCGGCAGGUUCGGGGGCACAGGAGGGAAGAGCCCCGAGGGGGUCCUGGCUGCCGAGUGGUAGGCGAACCCAGGCUCCGGGACGAGGGCCUCCGUGAGUGACCUCAGGCACAGGCCUCCGAGGUCACCUUCUCUUUUCCCCAAAGGCGGAACUUGUGGGGGAGACAGUGGGGGUUCUGGCUGCUCCAGGGGGUGGCUCGGGGGAGCUCCCGGACCCGGCUGACUCUAGCGCCCGAGCGAGUGAAGCCGCUUCCCCUUCCCGAGGCCGUGGCAGGAACAGACUCUCCAGAGAGCCCUGGUCGUCAGCAGUGACACCACCGGGACCCCGAGGGCAGUGGCGUGGGCACCAAAGGGCCCCUGUCUCUGUCCCCGGGCCAGGCCUCAACCAUCAGAAAACAACAGAGGGGAGUCUGCUCCGGGUCAGGUAAAGCCAUCGCCCCAGAGUGCCGAGGCCCCUGGUGGGAGCGUGGUUUCCGUCCGAGGAGGCUACUUUCCAGGAAAUCCGAUGAGCGAACUGAGCUCCUGGGGCUCCCCCGGGUCUCCUGCUGCGUUUGGGAGCGAGGCCUGGGCGCUGGGAGGCACGGAGGGCUGCAGACAGGCGUCCACAGACGUGGCCUGGAUUUUAACUACAGCUGUAGAGGCCACGAGGGGAUGGAGGAGGACAGAGGGAGGAAGGCUGGGGGGCAUGGUUAAAACUAUGAACCGAAGACAGAAUGCCUGUGUGCAACCUGGGAUAGUGUGCGAGCGUGUCCUGUGCACCUGUGCAUCCAGGUGCACGCUCGAGCCAGCCACACCUGUGCGUCCAGGUGCACGCUCGGGCCAGUCCCUCCUUCCCCGUCUGAGUCUUACUUGGAUCCCUGGUGCCCAUUCUGCGCACCAGCUCAGGACCCUGCAAGGGCUUCCGCAGCCUAGCUAGACGAGCCCAAACCCCUACAUGGACCUGUGCCCUGGCCUGACUCCCUGGCAGCCUGGCUGUGCCCACUGCAGUCCCCACUUUGACUCUGGGGCGCUGUCCGCAUCCCCCCUCCAGGGCCCCGCCCGAGAAGCCUUCCCUACGGGGAGCCAGGGAAAACCUCUGAGCGCGCGUCCCCACGGACGCCGCACCGCGUGCAGCCCGCCUCUCCCCGCAUCUCAUGCGGCAGCUACCGGACCUUCCGCACGUCCUCCGGGCUCCAGACGGGCAGGCCGCCCAGGAAAGGGGCUGCCCCGCUCCCCGGGGGGCUGGCAGAGGGCACACGCGGCGCCCGGCACGCUGGCCACACCAGAGAUGCCGACGGCGCUGCUACCACCAGUGCCGGCCUCGCCGAGGGUUUUCCAGCGGCCGGCUUCAGUCCCGCCGAUGUCACCGCUGAAGCACAGUGGCUCUUGUGCCAGGUUCCCCUGAGCAGAGCGGAAGCAGUUUUCUUCUUUCCCCAGAUGUCACCCCGGGGGAAGUACAAGGGACGGGAGCGUCAAGUGGCCUUGGCAGCCGGCCUCGGACUUUCCCUGCUCGGGUCUUACACAGAAACGAAGGAAGCAGAAGUGUGUCCGGUGACAGCAGGUGAAACCAGGCCGCCCGAGGGCAGCGCACGCGAGGACUCAGAACCCCCGAAGCCCCCCAGCCCGCCAAGCAUCCGCCACGGGCCGGCCCUGCGUCGCGUCCCGGGGUGCUUGCUGCCAGCGGUGCUCAGGACGUGACGCCACAGAGCGUUAAGGGGCGCUGGCACCACAUGACCGGAAGCUCUGUGGGGGCCGGGGGCCCCCGAGAGAAGGCCGGCCUUCAAGCCGGCGCAUGGGGGCGAAUACAAAGCCACCAGCCCAGGCCAGCGCACAGACCUGCGUCCGGACCCAGCCCAACCGCAGACGCGAGCAGAUGUGGACCCGAGGCCACCGCGGGUCAGCACAGAGCCCGACGCGGGGCUGGAACCCACACACCGUGAGGUCACGACCUGAGCCGAAGUCGGACACUUUGACUGAGCCCCCAGGCGCCCCAGAACCUUGGGAGGUCUAUGCAGGAGAGCCGUGGUCAGAUCCACGCUCUAGAACUCCCACCUCUGCAGGACUGACCGAGGACACACACGGGAGGACGGAGAUUGUGACCAGGGCUGAGAGCGAAGUUCCGUCGUGGGGGCUACCGCGAGGGGCUCCUCCGUCCUCCGCCGCGGUCUGGGCCGCCGGGAGCAAGGCUGCGUCCACCGCUGCGUGCAGACUCUCCCCGCGGACCGAGCGUUUCUCCCCCAGGGAAGCAUCCAGUGGCCGUCCUGCCGCGGGGGCUGUUAGGACGGGCUCCGCUUCGUCAGAAACCGCACCCACUGUGCACCAGCACCGCCACGCGGGCCCGCCCGCCUCCCCGCCAGCGCGUGUGGGGUCCGCCCUUCCCAGCCGGCCUUCUGCUGGGCCUGGAGUGACGCCUCACCGUGGCCGUGGCACUUUCUGUGUGCUCGCCGGCCAUUUCCGUAUCUUCUGUGUGGGAAGCCUCUGUUCAAAGCCUAAGUCCGUUGCCUAAAAACUCAAAUUCUUCUUCUUA